rnacentral:rRNA from 1 species
ACCCCUGUGAGAAUGCCCUUAGCCCUCUUAUGAGACUAAGGAGCGGGCAUCAGGCUCACACUUAAUAAGUAGCCAAUAACGCCUUGCUUAGCCACACCCCCAAGGGAAUUCAGCAGUGAUAAACAUUAAGCAAUGAGAGAAAACUCGACUCAGUUAACGUACUAAGAGUUGGUAAAACUCGUGCCAGCCACCGCGGUUAUACGAGAAACUCAAAAUGAUAAGCACCGGCGUAAAGGGUGGUUAGGAGAUUAAUAACUAAAGUUAAACAUUUUCUUAGCUGUUAUACGCAAUUGAAAACAUGAAAUUCAACCACGAAAGUAACUUUAAACAUCUGAAUCCACUAAAGCUACUAAACAAACUGGGAUUAGAUACCCCACUAUGCUUAGCCAUAAACACCGAUAUAAUAUUACAUUUUUAUCCGCCAGGGAAUUACGAGCACUAGCUUAAAACCCAAAGGACUUGGCGGUGCUUCAAACCCACCUAGAGGAGCCUGUUCUAGAACCGAUAAUCCCCGUUAAACCUCACCCCUCCUUGUUUAAUCC